rnacentral:rRNA from 1 species
AGCGAACGCUGGCGGCAUGCCUAACACAUGCAAGUCGCACGGGGGGGCUUCGGCCUCCCAGUGGCGGACGGGUGAGGAACGCGUAGGGACCUGUCGAGGGGUGGGGGAUAACCGCGGGAAACUGCGGCUAAUACCGCAUGACGCCGCGGCGUGACAGCCGGGGCCAAAGGCGAAAGCCGCCCGCCGAGGGGCCUGCGUCCGAUUAGCUGGUUGGCGGGGUAGCGGCCCACCAAGGCGUCGAUCGGUAGCUGGUCUGAGAGGGUGAUCAGCCACACCGGGACUGAGACACGGCCCGGACUCCUACGGGAGGCAGCAGUGGGGAAUAUUGGACAAUGGGCGCAAGCCUGAUCCAGCAAUGCCGCGUGGGUGAAGAAGGUCUUCGGAUUGUAAAGCCCUUUCGGCGGGGACGAUGGUGACGGUACCCGCAGAAGAAGCCCCGGCUAACUUCGCG